rnacentral:siRNA from 1 species
ACUUCUAAAGGAUCUAGUGUUUGC